AGUGAACGCUGGCGGUAGGCCUAACACAUGCAAGUCGAACGGCAGCACAGUAAGAGCUUGCUCUUACGGGUGGCGAGUGGCGGACGGGUGAGGAAUACAUCGGAAUCUACUUUUUCGUGGGGGAUCACGUAGGGAAACUUACGCUAAUACCGCAUACGACCUACGGGUGAAAGCAGGGGAUCUUCGGACCUUGCGCGAUUGAAUGAGCCGAUGUCGGAUUAGCUAGUUGGCGGGGUAAAGGCCCACCAAGGCGACGAUCCGUAGCUGGUCUGAGAGGAUGAUCAGCCACACUGGAACUGAGACACGGUCCAGACUCCUACGGGAGGCAGCAGUGGGGAAUAUUGGACAAUGGGCGCAAGCCUGAUCCAGCCAUACCGCGUGGGUGAAGAAGGCCUUCGAGUUGUAAAGCACUUUUGUUGGGAAAGAAAAGCAGCAGGUUAAUACCCCGCUGUUCUGACGGUACCCAAAGAAGAAGCACCGGCUAACUUCGUG
rnacentral:rRNA from 1 species